UACGUAGGGUGCGAGCGUUGUCCGGAAUUAUUGGGCGUAAAGAGCUCGUAGGCGGUGUGUCGCGUCGGCCGUGAAAACCUGGGGCUUAACUCUGGGCGUGCGGUCGAUACGGGCAUCACUAGAGUUCGGCAGGGGAGACUGGAAUUCCUGGUGUAGCGGUGAAAUGACGCAGAUAUCAGGAGGAACACCGGUGGCGAAGGCGGGUCUCUGGGCCGAUGACUGACGCUGAGGAGCGAAAGCAUGGGUAGCGAACAGG
rnacentral:rRNA from 1 species